rnacentral:rRNA from 1 species
UACAGAGGUCUCAAGCGUUGUUCGGAUUCAUUGGGCGUAAAGGGUGCGUAGGCGGCGUGGUAAGUCGGAUGUGAAAUCUCGGAGCUUAACUCCGAAACUGCAUUCGAUACUGCGGUGCUUGAGGACUGGAGAUGGAGACUGGAAUUCAUGGUGUAGCAGUGAAAUGCGUAGAGAUCGUAAGGAAGACCAGUGGCGAAGGCGAGUCUCUGGACAGUUACUGACACUGAGGCACGAAGGCCAGGGGAGCAAACGGG